UCUUUAGGAGUAAUAUCCCUUGUUUUCAACCAAGAUGGAUGGCAUAAGAUUAAACAGCUGAUUUUGGUGUCUAUAGCUUAUCCCUAGAGUUUUGUUAUUAUUCAUUCAUGUUAAUCAACAACCCUAACGUACAUCUUAAGGUGAAGAGUAGUUCAGGCAAGACCAGUAUGUGGUCCAUAAUACUUGCUAAUUGUAUUGCAAGGGACACAAGAAGAAUAGGUGCAACAAUUUCCUCUUCUGAUGAUUGGGAAAUUCCAUUUGAAAGUAUCACAGAUCUCCAGUGGCUGGGAAGUGGAGCCCAUGGGCCUGUGUUUCUUGGCAAACUCUGUAAUGAAAAAGUAGCAGUCAAGAAGGUCAGAGAUGUUAAAGAGACAGACAUUUGGAAAUUAAGAAAACUGAAUCACCCAAACAUUAUAGCGCUCAAUGUUCUUGUGGCAUCCAAUGAUAUUGUCAGGAACCAGCUGAGAGUGGAAUGAAAAAAAAAGCACUAAAAUGUCAUUUGCUGGCACUGUGGCCUGAAUGGCAUCAGAAGUCAUUUGAAAUAAAAUGUGCAGUGAAAUGAAAAAGUAGACAUUUGGAAUGCAAAGCUCAAAAAUAGACCAUCAUUUAGACAAAUUCUCAUGCACCUUGAGAUUGCCUCUGCUAAAUUACUUUGGUUCAGUCGGGAGGACUUUUCUGAAUCUCAAUGAAGUCCUUAACUGAAAGACACAGAUUCUGUCAUUAUCAUCAAGAUAUUCUAAGAAAGGAUCUGAGAUGAGAACAAUUACUGACUAUGUACAAUAAUACUAGAAAGAGUAUAAUUCGUCCAGUCAUAAAAGUUCUAGAAAUGCCAGAUCGACUUGGUAAAAAAACUGACACAUAGGUCAGAGUCUGAAGUCACCAUGCCUGACUCUAUAAAAAACACAGAAGGGAGCAUGACAACCAGGUCUUAGCUGGUACCACCACCUCCUACGAAAAUGUGUGCCAGGAAGUCUCGUCGUCG